ACGAACGCUGGCGGCGUGCUUAACACAUGCAAGUCGAACGGAAAGGCCCUGCUUUUGUGGGGUGCUCGAGUGGCGAACGGGUGAGUAACACGUGAGUAACCUGCCCUUGACUUUGGGAUAACUUCAGGAAACUGGGGCUAAUACCGGAUAGGAGCUCCUGCUGCAUGGUGGGGGUUGGAAAGUUUCGGCGGUUGGGGAUGGACUCGCGGCUUAUCAGCUUGUUGGUGGGGUAGUGGCUUACCAAGGCUUUGACGGGUAGCCGGCCUGAGAGGGUGACCGGCCACAUUGGGACUGAGAUACGGCCCAGACUCCUACGGGAGGCAGCAGUGGGGAAUAUUGCACAAUGGGCGGAAGCCUGAUGCAGCAACGCCGCGUGCGGGAUGACGGCCUUCGGGUUGUAACCGCUUUCGCCUGUGACGAAGCGUGAGUGACGGUAAUGGGUAAAGAAGCACCGGCUAACUACGUG
rnacentral:rRNA from 1 species